rnacentral:tRNA from 1 species
UGGGCCCGUGGUCUAGCUGGUUAUGACAUCGCCUUCACACGGCGGGGAUCACGCGUUCGAAUCGCGUCGGGCCCAU